rnacentral:rRNA from 1 species
GAUGAACGCUGGCGGCGUGCCUAAUACAUGCAAGUCGAGCGAACAGACGAGAGUGCUUGCACUCUCUGACGUUAGCGGCGGACGGGUGAGUAACACGUGGGUAACCUACCUAUAAGACUGGGAUAACUUCGGGAAACCGGAGCUAAUACCGGAUAAUAUUUAGCUUCGCAUGAAGCAAUAGUGAAAGACGGUUCUGCUGUCACUUAUAGAUGGACCCGCGGUGUAUUAGCUAGUUGGUGAGGUAACGGCUCACCAAGGCAACGAUACAUAGCCGACCUGAGAGGGGGAUCGGCCACACUGGGACUGAGACACGGCCCAGACUCCUACGGGAGGCAGCAGUAGGGAAUCUUCCGCAAUGGACGAAAGUCUGACGGAGCAAUGCCGCGUGAGUGAAGAAGGUGUUCGGAUCGUAAAACUCUGUUGUAAGGGAAGAACAAGUACGUUAGUAACUGAACGUACCUUGACGGUACCUUACCAGAAAGCCACGGCUAACUACGUG